UUCCGGUUGAUCCCGCCGGACCUGACUGCUAUCGGAUUGGUACUAAGCCAUGCGAGUCAUUGUAGCAAUACAAGGCGGACGGCUCAGUAACACGUAGUCAACCUAACUCGUGGACGUGGAUAACCUCGGGAAACUGAGAAUAAACCACGAUAGAUCAUAGUGCCUGGAAUGGCUUAUGGUCCAAACAGUUUACUGCCAUGGGAUGGGACUGCGGCCUAUCAGCUUGUUGGUGAGGUAAUGGCCCACCAAGGCGAUUACAGGUACGGGCUCUGAGAGGAGAAGCCCGGAGAUGGGUACUGAGACACGGACCCAGGCCCUAUGGGGCGCAGCAGGCGGGAAACCUUAGCAAUGUGCGAGAGCACGACUGGGUCAGUCCGAGUGAUUCCUGAUAAAGGAGUCUUUUGCUUGUCCUAAAAGCACAGGUGAAUAAGGGGUGGGCAAGUCUGGUGUCAGCCGCCGCGGUAAUACCAGCACCUCGAGUGGUCAGGACGUUUAUUGGGCCUAAAGCAUCCGUAGCCGGCUUUGCAAGUCUUCGGUUAAAUCCACCUGCUCAACAGAUGGGCCGCUGGAGAUACUACAAAGCUAGGGAGUGGGAGAGGCAGACGGUAUUCAGUGGGUAGGGGUAAAAUCCUCUGAUCCAUUGAGGACCACCAGUGGCGAAGGCGGUCUGCCAGAACACGUUCGACGGUGAGGGAUGAAAGCUGGGGGAGCAAACCGGAUUAGAUACCCGGGUAGUCCCAGCUGUAAACGAUGCAAACUCGGUGAUGCAUUGGCUUAUGGCCAAUGCAGUGCCGCAGGGAAGCCGUUAAGUUUGCCGCCUGGGAAGUACGGACGCAAGUCUGAAACUUAAAGGAAUUGGCGGGGGAGCACCACAAGGGGUGAAGCCUGCGGUUCAAUU
rnacentral:rRNA from 1 species